UACGUAGGGGGCAAGCGUUGUCCGGAUUCAUUGGGCGUAAAAAGCUCGUAGGCGGCUUGGCAAGUCGGGUGUGAAAGCCCUCAGCUCAACUGAGGAAGUGCGCCCGAAACUGCAGAGCUUGAGUGCCGGAGAGGGUGGCGGAAUUCCCCAAGUAGAGGUGAAAUUCGUAGAUAUGGGGAGGAACACCGGGUGGGCGAAAGGCGGCCGACCUAG
rnacentral:rRNA from 1 species